rnacentral:rRNA from 1 species
ACGGGGAGAUUCAUCGUCAGCGGCGCUGGCUUCGCGUCGGUGGGCGAUGUUCCGCGGAGCCCUUGCGGGUCCUACCGCGGACACGCUACCGUGCGUCGAUGUCCGGCGCUCGUCGUCGUGCACUUCUCCCCUAGUAGGACGUCGCGACCCGCUGGGUGUCGGUCUACGGCCCGGGUGCGGUGCCUGUCGCGUCGCCGGUAAAACGGCACGCGGCAAACCCCCGGUCGCCCGGCCGGCUGCCCGGCGGUACACGCAUGGUAUCAGGCCGCACUCUUCUCACGUGUGCGUCGAGACCGGCGCAAGCGCGCGCCACGGUACUCGGAGGUUACGGACCUAGCGCCGUCCCCGGUCCUGGCCCGCUGUUGGCUCGCUCGGAACUCCUUCGACAGGCCUGCAAAGUAUAUACCGGUCGGCGACGCUACUGCUUUGGGUACUCUUAGGACCCGUCUUGAAACACGGACCAAGGAGUCUAACAUGUACGCGAGUCAUUGGGACUAGCGAGACCUAAAGGCGCAAUGAAAGUGAAGGUCGGCCCUGGUUGUCGACCGAGGGAGGAUGGGCCGCGUCGCGAUGCGGCUCCGCACUCCCGGGGCGUCUCGUCU